AUUGAACGCUGGCGGCAGGCCUAACACAUGCAAGUCGAACGAGUGGCGGACGGGUGAGUAAUGUCUGGGAAACUGCCUGAUGGAGGGGGAUAACUACUGGAAACGGUAGCUAAUACCGCAUACAAUCAGAUGUGCCCAGAUGGGAUUAUCUCGUUGGUGGGGUACCGGCUCACCAAGGCGACGAUCCCUAGCUGGUCUGAGAGGAUGAACAUCCAAACGGGAACUGGGACACGGUCCAGAGUCCUACGGUAGGCAGCAGUGGGGAAUAUUGCACAAUGGGCGCAAGCCUGAUGCAGCCAUGCCGCGUGUAUGAAGAAGGCCUUCGGUUUGUAAAGUACUUUCAGCGGGGAGGCGUUACCCGCAGAAGAAGCACCGGCUAACUCCGUGCCAGCAGCCGCGGUAAUUC
rnacentral:rRNA from 1 species